GCAUAUCAAUAAGCGGAGGAAAAGAAACCAACAGGGAUUGCCCCAGUAACGGCGAGUGAAGCGGCAACAGCUCAAAUUUGAAAUCUGGCCUCGGCCCGAGUUGUAAUUUGCAGAGGAAGCUUUAGGCGCGGCACCAACUGAGUCCCCUGGAACGGGGCGCCAUAGAGGGUGAGAGCCCCGUAUAGUUGGACGCCUAGCCUGUGUAAAGCUCCUUCGACGAGUCGAGUAGUUUGGGAAUGCUGCUCAAAAUGGGAGGUAAAUUUCUUCUAAAGCUAAAUACCGGCCAGAGACCGAUAGCGCACAAGUAGAGUGAUCGAAAGAUGAAAAGCACUUUGAAAAGAGGGUUAAAUAGCACGUGAAAUUGUUGAAAGGGAAGCGCUUGUGACCAGACUUGCGCCGGGCCGAUCAUCCGGUGUUCUCACCGGUGCACUCGGCCCGGCUCAGGCCAGCAUCGGUUCUCGUGGGGGGAUAAAGGUCCCGGGAACGUAGCUCCUCCGGGAGUGUUAUAGCCCGGGGCGUAAUGCCCUCGCGGGGACCGAGGUUCGCGCAUCUGCAAGGAUG
rnacentral:rRNA from 1 species